GAUGAACGCUAGCGACAGGCUUAACACAUGCAAGUCGAGGGGCAGCACGGUGUAGCAAUACAUUGGUGGCGACCGGCGCACGGGUGAGUAACGCGUAUGCAACCUACCUAUCAGAGGGGAAUAACCCGGCGAAAGUCGGACUAAUACCGCAUAAAACAGGGGUUCCACAUGGAAAUAUUUGUUAAAGAUUUAUCGCUGAUAGAUGGGCAUGCGUUCCAUUAGAUAGUUGGUGAGGUAACGGCUCACCAAGUCUACGAUGGAUAGGGGUUCUGAGAGGAAGGCCCCCCACACUGGUACAGAGGCACGGACCAGACGCCUACGGGAGGAAGCAGUGAGGAAGAUUGGUCAAUGGGCGAGAGCCUGAACCAGCCAAGUCGCGUGAAGGAUGAAGGAUCUAUGGUUUGUAAUCUUCUUUAAGUUGGGAAUAAAGCGCGGGACGUGUCCCGCUUUGCAUGUACCAUCAGAAAAAGGACCGGCUAAUUCCGUGCCAGCCGCCGCAGUAA
rnacentral:rRNA from 1 species